AACGUAGGUGGCGAGCGUUGUCCGGAAUUACUGGGCGUAAAGGGUGCGUAGGCGGCUCCUUAAGUGAGGUGUGAAAUCCCUGUGCUCAACCCAGGAACUGCACUUCAAACUGGGGAGCUAGAGUGCAGGAGAGGAAAGCGGAAUUCCCGGUGUAGCGGUGAAAUGCGUAGAGAUCGGGAGUAACACCAGUGGCGAAGGCGGCUUUCUGGACUGUAACUGACGCUGAGGCACGAAAGCGUGGGGAGCAAACAGG
rnacentral:rRNA from 1 species